UCUGUAAAUAAAAGUUCACACCUUUUUCUGUUCCUGCGUAUCGCUGAUGCUUACAAGCUCGUUAAGGUGCUGCUAAACGCACGCAAGCGGAAAACUAGCCUUUGAAAUUUUCGAGAAAUUCACAAUAAUUGUGUAUAUAUCUAACUAAUUCAACUUUAUUUUUGUUUCUUUGUACUUGCAUUUGAUUUUACGUCACACUCUUGGCCCUAAUAGUACACAAAAUGAAUGUCGAGAUCAAAAUGUAAAGGGAAUCUCUAUGACGAAUUAAAAACGCGUUUGUGCUAACAGUGCAGGGAGCUAAAUAUAUAGCAAGUUUUCAUAGACUGUGAAGUAUUUCCAAGAACUGGACAUAAGGGUAAGAGAAGUGGCGUAAGAUCAGAUGUUAGUGGGCCUCCCAUAGAACAAGACUGUCGCACUCGCCAUGAAGACAAGUCCUGGAAUGCCCACUGUGAGGUCAAAUAGCUUUUUAAGUGCCCCAGCUUAAAGGUAAGUGCAUACAUAACUCUGGGCCAGUGUGAUCGCCGAUGUCUACAGUCACGUGAGUUCGUUUCAAUGUGUGUACAUGAUUCCUUCUCUUUCCUUUGUGAAGUAGUUGUGUUGUGUGUUUAGAGUAGUAGGUUGUAGUGACUGUUGUACUUAUGGCACCUAGAGUAGAUUUAUUUGUGUGUACACCUCAGCAAAAUACGUUUAGGAACCUUGACACGUACCUUUUAUUGCACAAGCCAGAUAUCAGUUAGCGAUGCUGACAAUCGCGGUGGCAAGGGGGGGGGGGGGGGGGCAUACGUUGGAAAGUCUUCACAGCACUUCUUUAAAUGUGCUCUUUCGCAUUACCGAUUGCAAAUAUUGUUGGGAACAGAUAAAUGAAUGAACAAGGCAAUCCUGUUGAUUGGAAGGUGCAACUGAAAUCCUACUGUGAUUCGGCUAAAUAAAAUGAAGCAAACGGAGACGGUAGGCUACAAAGGCGACGUGCAAGUAUGCUUCUGUGCUACGACUUCGUUUGUGAGCUACCUCAUAUCUCCAGCCGUUUUCCACAUGGGACAAGAUUUUGCUCACCGCAACAUAGUUUGACAAUGCAAAAGUUAAUACGUCAUUCAAAGCUUAAUUUAAACAAGGCCUGCAUAGGAAAUACUCGUAAAAGUAGCCUUAGGCGAAAAUUCCGAGGCCUUGUGAAGAAUUAGGGUUCCUGUGGCUGCUGCUUCUUCUUCUUCCAAAAGAAAAAAAGAACCCCUUAGGAACCAUUGCAUCGCGACAUUUUCGAAGGUAAAUACAUAAUUAUACUCACUCUUGUGCAGAGAAACAGCUGAUUGAAGUGACAUAUUUAUAUAGAAUAAUUCACUGACGUAUUUCGAUAAAGUAAUCUUUCCAAAAAAUAUUGUUUUCAGUUCAUUGUUGCAGCUCCCCCAUUCUUUUCCUUUUUAAAUAUUUCCUUGUAUAACUAUGUAGAGGCACUGCUGUGGAUGUAUUACUUUGAAGAUCACUGAGCAGAUGGUUAUGAUUUACGUUAAAUUUGAAGAUGUAGCACAGAAUUCAUAAUGUCUCAUAUGACACGUGCACUGGCUCCUAAACGUUUUGUCAAAGGUGUGCCUACAUGUUGGUUGCCACAAUAUAGGAUGGUCAUGUUUUUAUCCUUUGAGACUAUUAUACUCAUAUAUUUUGAUUACGUGAGAUAUGAUGUGCUUAGAAAGAACGUUUAUUUUUCUUUACUAGCCUAAAAUUGAUCAUUCUUGGCCGCAGCAGUAUGUAACAACAAUCAAGAACGUUAAAUAGUAAAUAAACGCGCACACAGGAAGUAUGUACACGUGCACUGAGAACUUGAAUCAUACGUGCGCCCUUUAGAGUAUGGGCAACCAAUAUGGGUCAAAAGCGAGGUCUCUGUCAGUUCAUCCGCAAGCCGCGGUGCUUGUAAGGUGUCGUAAUGACCAUGUAGUAUGAAGCAGAAAAAGAACUAAAGAUGGAAGGUAGUACAGAGUUUUCGUACCAUGAAUGAUUCUGAAACUUUACCCUAAGUCAGCAGUCAUAAAACAAUACUUGUAUUAUUGUGUUUUAUCGCUCUUUGAGUGCUUAUGCCGUAAAAGUAGCUUAAUUUCCGUACAUGUUAUACAAGAGCGUUCAGUUCCCGAAUAGGGUUCUUUUCGUUUCUUGCAGAAUUAUUUAGGGAGGCGCGAAUGCCUCAAAUUUUCUGCCCAAGGUAUCGCGAUGAAAUGUGGGCGCUUUGCAUGAGACUUUCUUCUUCUUCUUCCAAGCAUUCCUCCUGUUUUCAGUGUCGUCUCUCCCCUGUGUCAUUCCUUAAAUACACACUUAACCUUCGUUACCACUUUCUUUGCGACUCGUCAAGGAAUUCCUAUUCCGAGACCUUUUGUUCAUUUCUCUUCCCACGUGUCAUACCCUCGUAUCGUAGUUCAAAAGUCAGGAAUCCACGUAGGGAUCACUGGCUGCCAUGUGAAUAACCUUGCCGGCCUGGCGUUGUGUUUGCCAGCCGGCUUAAACAUGCGGGCGUGCGGAGCGUAGUAGUAGUAGUAGUCCCAGCUCCGAUAUACGCCCACAGUGUUUGGCCCCUGACUAAUCCAUUUGUGUUUCAUG
rnacentral:lncRNA from 1 species